rnacentral:rRNA from 1 species
UACGUAGGGUCCGAGCGUUGUCCGGAAUUAUUGGGCGUAAAGGGCUCGUAGGCGGUCUGUUGCGUCGGGAGUGAAAACUUACAGCUUAACUGUGAGCGUGCUUUCGAUACGGGCAGACUUGAGGCAUUCAGGGGAGAACGGAAUUCCUGGUGUAGCGGUGAAAUGCGCAGAUAUCAGGAGGAACACCGAUUGCGAAGGCAGCUCGCUGGAACGUUACUGACGCUGAGACGCGAAAGCGUGGGGAGCAAACAGG